CAGGUGAGGGAGCCCGGAGCGGAUCCUGGCGCCAUGGAGCCGGGGGAAAACGCAGCUCUGGCGGAGCGGGACAGGAGGAUCAGCAAACUGACCUCGGACCUGGGUGAAUCCAGCGCCAAACUCAAGGAACGCGAGCGGAAAAUCA